GAUCCUGGCUCAGGACGAACGCUGGCGGCGCGCCUAACACAUGCAAGUCGAACGGAGAUUACAGGCGGAAGUUUUCGGAUGGAAGCUUGUAAACUUAGUGGCGGACGGGUGAGUAACACGUGAGCAACCCGCCUAUCAGAGGGGGAUAACGAUUGGAAACGAUCGCUAAUACCGCAUGACAUAGCGGAACCGCAUGGUUCUGUUAUCAAAGAUUUUAUCGCUGAUAGAUGGGCUCGCGUCCGA
rnacentral:rRNA from 1 species